GGAGUCGGCCAGGCAGUCGCCGUGCCGCGGCCAUGCCGCUCGGCGCGGAGGAAAGUCCGGGCUCCAAAGGGCAGGGUGCCAGGUAACACCUGGGGGGCGCGAGCCCACGGAAAGUGCCACAGAAAAGAUACCGCCACGCCAGCAAUGGCGCGGUAAGGGUGAAAUGGUGCGGUAAGAGCGCACCGCGCCGCUGGUAACAGCGGCGGCAGGGUAAACCCCACCCGGAGCAAGACCAAAUAGGGGAGCAUAGUGUGGCCCGCACGGCUCCCGGGUAGGUCGCGUGAGGUGUGCGGCGACGUACAUCCCAGAUGAAUGGCUGCCCACGACAGAACCCGGCUUAUCGGCCGGCUCCCAUC
rnacentral:RNase_P_RNA from 1 species